UACGAAGGGGGCUAGCGUUGCUCGGAAUCACUGGGCGUAAAGCGCACGUAGGCGGAUUGUUAAGUCAGGGGUGAAAUCCUGGAGCUCAACUCCAGAACUGCCUUUGAUACUGGCGAUCUCGAGUCCGGGAGAGGUGAGUGGAACUGCGAGUGUAGAGGUGAAAUUCGUAGAUAUUCGCAAGAACACCAGUGGCGAAGGCGGCUCACUGGCCCGGUACUGACGCUGCGGUGCGAAAGCGUGGGAGCAACAGG
rnacentral:rRNA from 1 species